rnacentral:rRNA from 1 species
UACGGAGGAUGCAAGCGUUAUCCGGAAUGAUUGGGCGUAAAGCGUCCGCAGGUGGCUGUGUAAGUCUGCUGUCAAAGAGCGAAGCUCAACUUCGUAAAGGCAGUGGAAACUACAUGGCUAGAGUGCGUUCGGGGCAGAGGGAAUUCCUGGUGUAGCGGUGAAAUGCGUAGAGAUCAGGAAGAACACCGGUGGCGAAAGCGCUCUGCUAGGCCGCAACUGACACUGAGGGACGAAAGCUAGGGGAGCGAAUGGG